CUGAAAAAUACUUAAAGAGGCAGAAAUAUGUGAUCAUCUGAACUCUGCUUAGAAUAAAGAAAUAAGAGAUUCACUCUUUUGUGAGGUUGCUGGAUGUUGAACACAGUGGUCUGCAGCACAGAUCAGAUGCCCAUUCUUCUCGCUGCCCUGUGAGGCAACACAGGUCAGCCUGCUGCUUCUGUACCACAGCUCCUCAGAUAUUCAAAGAAAGGGGCUAUGUUCUCCCUCAGUCUGGAAGCUGCUUAGGGGAGUAUUUUAUGGGAGUAAAGUCAUUCCCAGAAGAAUGAAAAUGUGCCAUCAUGAAGAAGGAACAACUUUUUGUUCUCUUCCUGGAUGUUGGGGUAAAGAGAGUUAAAGAUACCCCAAAGCACAAAAGUCUACAAUCCUGAGUGAGAAAAAAAGAAUAUACCAUUAUGAUAGAGAUAGGGGGUUGGAAGCAAGUUAGUAUAAUGGAACAUUCUCUGUCUCAGAAGAAGGGAGAGAACAUUCUAUAAAACUCAUUUUGCCCGUGACUCAACUGGCUGAGAAGCACUUUUGAAGUAGAAAACGGGAACUCACCAGGUUUCCAGUGCUCACUUGGUUGUGUUGUGCUGUGCCCAAAGUGUUGCUUCUUCUAUGACCUGAAUCAAGUGUUCUGCAUUAUUCCAAUGUCAGACCUGCCAGAGGGCAAAUUACCAAAUCAACAGUCUCCUUGGAUGAUAAAUCUCGAGCUCUUCAGCAGAACAGCAAACCAGCUGCUAUUCUCUGAGCUGCCUCAUGGAAGGGCCCAACUGGCAAGCAACUGAGACAAGCAAUCGUCAGAGAAGAAUGGAUGUACCCCAUCCAAAGUCCUGCAAUGAACUUGAAUGAUCCUGCAAUCUCAGAAUUGAAAGAAUCCUAUCAAAAACAAAGAACUUAUGAGCACAUACUGUACAGUAGAACUUGAGAUGACUGCAGCUCUUGUCUGCACCUUGAAGAUUUGCAAGAGUCCCUGAACUGGAAGACCGCACUAAGCUAUGCUCAGUUUCCUAACCCACUGUAACUGUAAGAUAAUAAAUGUUAUUCUUUUAAGCUUCUAAGUUUUAGGGCAUUUAUUACACAGCAAUAGAU
rnacentral:lncRNA from 1 species